rnacentral:lncRNA from 10 species
GAUGAGCUCACCGCCCCCGUUCGCCAUUGGGUGCGGGUGACGUCGCUCAUUUGCAUGGAGGGGCGGGGCCAAGCCGCCGACGCCCGCCCGGCCGCCGUUGCCCCGGCGACGCGCGGUAAACGCCACAACAGCGCGCUGCCUUGUGGGUUGACGUCAUGGGGGCGGCCGCGCGCCCGGGCCGGGUCACCCCGCCCCGGGACCGCUGUGUACGACCGAUCUCCCCGGCGCCGCCUCCGCCAAGGGGCGGGGGCGGGGGCGGUGCCGGCCUCCGGGGACUGGAGGGGGAUGGGGUCCCGCAUGGCUAAAUAACUCCUUGGCGCCUCCUGCUCUGCUGUGCCGCCAGGGCCUCCCCUAGCGCGCCUUCUGGAGAGGCUUUGUGCGGAUACGGGGCUGGAGGCCUGGUGGGGCUGUGUCCGGGGGCUCGCCGGGGGUGUGGGGAGGUCUGCGUUCCUCACCCUCCCUCCUUCCUUCCCUCCCUCCCUCCACCCCGCGUGUGAUUGCUCAGGAAGAGACGGGAGGGGAGAGGAGGGUCGCCAGAAGUUGCUGAAAGCGCUUGGAUCCUGAUCAUUUUCACUGAGUGCGUUCUAGAACCAGGAGUCCUACUUCCUGCCUUUACAGAUGGGAAACUGGGCUCAGAGAGGUGGAGUGACCAUCCCCCGAGAGUUAGCUAGGAGUCACAGCAGGGCCCGGGCUGUGACUAGGCCUGAGCUCUUGUCCACCCUUAGAACCCUAGAACCUGGGAGUCCAGGCCCCUGCGCAGCCCCUUCCUUCCGCCGCCCACGUUUUAACCCCAGGUCUGCCAGGGCUGUGAUGUCCUGGGCGAGGGUGCCCAACUCCAGGGGCUGGGCUGAUGAGGCAGGAAUGCCGGGUAUAAUUAUUACAUGCUUGUUACCACUAUCAUGGCUGUUAGGGCUUAAUGAGCCACUAUUAAGACUGGCUGGGAAGGGGGUGUGAGGGAGGAGAGAUGGACCCACCCCACCAAUACUCACAAGGGAUCCUUAGGACAUCUGGAUCUGACCUACAGCCUCUGCAUGCACCCCUCCAGCUCCCCACCUCUGUCUGAAUGGAGCCCACACCCUCCUUUCCCUGACCUCCUUCCCCUCACUCUCUCUGAUCCUUGGCCUCCCAGUUGCAGGACUAAUCGUACCUCUGGGCCUUUGCACGUGCUAUGCUCUCUGCUUGGUACUCCCUUCCCCCAGUGCAAAGAUGUGUCUUCAGGAAGUGCCCCACCCUCAGACUUUACUCCUUUAUUGUAGCCUCUGAAUCUGCCAGAAUGAUGGAGUGGACCAUAGUCCCUGAAGGUCAGGGACAUUGCCUAUGCUGAGCCUGCUGACAGGGCCUCGCAUAGAAUGGAUGCUCAGUAUUAAAGGAAUCGCUUAAUCCUGAAAGUCUUGUAGGAAGAUAUGGCGAGAAGUGGAGUCAAGAACACACCACGAUGGUGCAGAAAGGAAAAGCAUUGCGAUUUUUAUUGGAUUUGAAGAAAUAGUAAGGGGUCAGGCUGGGUGUGGUGGCGCACGCCUGUAAUCUCAGCACUUUGGGAGGCUGAGGCAGGUGGAUCACGAGGUCAGGCGUUCGAGACCAGCCUGGCCAACAUAGUGAAACCUUGUCUCUACUAAAAAUACAAAAAUUCUCCCGGUGUGGUGGCGCACGCCUUUAGUCCCAGCUACUUGG